AUUGAACGCUGGCGGCAUGCCGUACACAUGCAAGUCGAACGGUAACAGGUCUUCGGAUGCUGACGAGUGGCGAACGGGUGAGUAAUACAUCGGAACGUGCCUAGUAGUGGGGGAUAACUACUCGAAAGAGUGGCUAAUACCGCAUGAGAUCUACGGAUGAAAGCAGGGGAUCGCAAGACCUUGUGCUACUAGAGCGGCCAAUGGCAGAUUAGGUAGUUGGUGGGAUAAAAGCUUACCAAGCCGACGAUCUGUAGCUGGUCUGAGAGGACGAUCAGCCACACUGGGACUGAGACACGGCCCAGACUCCUACGGGAGGCAGCAGUGGGGAAUUUUGGACAAUGGGCGCAAGCCUGAUCCAGCAAUGCCGCGUGCAGGAUGAAGGCCUUCGGGUUGUAAACUGCUUUUGUACGGAACGAAAAGCCCUGGGUUAAUACCCUGGGGUCAUGACGGUACCGUAAGAAUAAGCACCGGCUAACUACGUGCCAGCAGCCGCAGUAA
rnacentral:rRNA from 1 species